AAGGUGAGUUUGGAGCUAGUUGCACGGAGAAAUGUCACUGUGUAUCAGGAGAGUGUGAUCGAUUUACUGGAGUCUGUGCAGGAAGCUCCACGGAGUGCCAGUAUGGCUGGGCUGGGAGUAGCUGUCAAAAAUGUCUGGCUGGCAGGUUUGGUCGGAACUGUUCAGGUACAAUUCAAGUCGAAAAUAUACCGAAGAACAAAGGUCAAAC